rnacentral:rRNA from 1 species
UACGGAGGGCGCGAGCGUUGUCCGGAAUCACUGGGCGUAAAGGGCGCGUAGGCGGCCCUGGUAAGUCUGCGGUGAAAGCCCGGGGCUCAACCCCGGGUCGGCCGCGGGUACUGCCGGGCUGGAGUGCCGUAGGGGCAGGCGGAAUUCCGGGUGUAGCGGUGGAAUGCGUAGAGAUCCGGAAGAACACCGGUGGCGAAGGCGGCCUGCUGGGCAGUAGCUGACGCUGAGGCGCGACAGCGUGGGGAGCAAACAGG